rnacentral:tRNA from 2 species
GGGGAUGUAGCUCAGUGGUAGAGCGCAUGCUUUGCAUGUAUGAGGCCCUGGGUUCGAUCCCCGGCAUCUCCA